AAGUCGUAACAAGGUUUCCGUAGGUGAACCUGCGGAAGGAUCAUUAACACGUAUAACGUUUUAACCAUCCCUCACCCCUCUGUGCACUAAAAAACAAUUUAAACCUAAAUCCUGUCUUUGCGUUUUCGGACGUUUAAGGUAGGUCGCUCCAGCUUAACUCCUCGUGUUUUAAGCGUGCGUCUCAUUCAUUUGGGAUGGCAGGGCGUCAACAACCAAACCCUUGACUAUUAUUACUGAAACCCCCCUAACUUAGGCACUCCGGUGUCUGGUUAACAAAAAUACAAAAACAACUCUUAACAACGGAUAUCUUGGUUCUC
rnacentral:misc_RNA from 1 species